rnacentral:lncRNA from 1 species
UGUCUGCAGAGCAAGCUGCGAUACGGAAGGAUGUGAGCAAGAUGAAGCGAUUACUGAAUAUGAUUUUUGACAAAUUAGGGUGUUGUCGAGCAGAUUUACCUCCAGGGGAUGCUUCCGAUUAGGUGUUGCGCGGUUCCUCCGUUUGUCUUUUUGGCGCUUUCUGACAAAAAGGGGGAGAUGAUAGGAUAGAUGGGGCUCGAUGAUGAUGAAGCGUUUAGUUUAGAUUUGAUUUUUUUUUUGUUGUUUUUGAUGCACUUUGCAUAGUUGUGUAAAUUUAGUUUAAAUGUUUGCUUAGGUGCCUGACUAUGAACUGACUUCGUACUAUUUUGUCGCUUAUGUUUGAUUAUGUUUGAUCUUGAUAAGUUACUUAAAUCUUGAUUUUCGUUUUAAGAAUGUUUUUGUAGGAAUAAUUCAAGACUUCAAGACUCCAUGUCUAAGUCAUAGAGUCUGUAUUAAGUUUAUGAAAAUUGUAACUUUCAUUUAUUGGAUCGAUCAUGCAGGAGAUUAUCGUUUGGUGAUUGCGAUGAUCUUCUUUUUAUUGUGUUUGAGUUGUGAACGAGCAUUGUAGUAUAUUUUGUCACGAAAUCGCCAAAGGGGAAGAUUGUUAAGGAUUUUAUAGGUUGGCGAAUUUCGUAAUGUUUGAAUGGAGUCUUGAAGAGUUGAUUGCGGAAGAUUGAAGAAAAGAU